rnacentral:rRNA from 1 species
GCACGUAGUUGGCCGGAGCUUCUUCUGCAGGUACCGUCAAUUUCGUCCCUGCUGAAAGCGGUUACAACCCGAAGGCCGUCUUCCCGCACGCGGCAUCGCUGCGUCAGGCUUUCGCCCAUUGCGCAAGAUUCCC